rnacentral:rRNA from 1 species
GACGAGGGGUCCUAGCGUUGUUCGGAAUCACUGGGCGUAAAGCGUAUGUAGGCGGCUCUUUAAGUCAGGUGUGAAAUCCCAUGGCUCAACCAUGGAAUUGCAUUUGAUACUGAUGAGCUUGAGUGUGGGAGAGAUUGGUAGAAUACCUGGUGUAGUGGUGAAAUACGUAGAUAUCAGGUGGAAUACCGGUGGCGAAGGCGGCCAAUUGGCCCAACACUGACGCUGAGGAGCGAAAGCCAGGGGAGCAAACGGG